rnacentral:rRNA from 1 species
GAUGAACGCUGGCGGCGUGCCUAAUACAUGCAAGUCGAGCGAACAGACGAGGAGCUUGCUCCUCUGACGUUAGCGGCGGACGGGUGUGUAACACGUGGAUAACCUACCUAUAAGACUGGGAUAACUUCGGGAAACCGGAGCUAAUACCGGAUAAUAUAUUGAACCGCAUGGUUCAAUAGUGAAAGACGGUUUUGCUGUCACUUAUAGAUGGAUCCGCGCCGCAUUAGCUAGUUGGUAAGGUAACGGCUUACCAAGGCAACGAUGCGUAGCCGACCUGAGAGGGUGAUCGGCCACACUGGAACUGAGACACGGUCCAGACUCCUACGGGAGGCAGCAGUAGGGAAUCUUCCGCAAUGGGCGAAAGCCUGACGGAGCAACGCCGCGUGAAUGAUGAAGGUCUUCGGAUCGUAAAACUCUGUUAUUAGGGAAGAACAAAUGUGUAAGUAACUAUGCACGUCUUGACGGUACCUAAUCAGAAAGCCACGGCUAACUACGUG